rnacentral:rRNA from 1 species
GUGUGGGUUUGUCCCCCCGCCAAUAGGGAACGUGAGCUGGGUUUAGACCGUCGUGAGACAGGUUAGUUUUACCCUACUGAUGAAAAGAUAUUGCGACAGUAAUCCAGGUUAGUACGAGAGGAACCCCUGGAUCAGAUAAUUGGUAAAUACGGUUAGCUGAAAAGCUAGUGCCGUGAAGCUAUCAUCUGUCGGAUUAUGACUGAACGCCUCUAAGUCAGAAUCCAUGCUGGAAAAGCAAUGUCUAAUCAAUAAUAAAAGAAAAAGAAUAGGCAUAGCCAUAGUUCAAACACGAGCCCUUCCGACAUUCCAGAAAAGGGGUGGCAGGUAGGCUUGAAUCACAAUUUGAAAUUAUUAUUGACACAAAUCUUCUGUAGACGACUUAACUUAGGACAGGGUAUUGUAAGUUUGGAAGUAGGCUUGUCCUACGACCUGCUGAGAUUCAUCCCUUGUCCUA